AGCAUAUCAAUAAGCGGAGGAAAAGAAACCAACCGGGAUUGCCCCCAGUAACGGCGAGUGAAGCGGCAACAGCUCAAAUUUGAAAUCUGGAGUCUUUGUUGGCUUCCGAGUUGUAAUUUGCAGAGGGAGCCUCGGAGGGCUGGUCGGUCCAAGUGCCUUGGAACAGGAUACCGCAGAGGGUGAGAGUCCCGUAUCCGGCCGACGCAGUGCUCCGUGUGAGGCCUCUUCGACGAGUCGAGUUGUUUGGGAAUGCAGCUCUAAGUGGGUGGUAAAUUCCAUCUAAAGCUAAAUACUGGCCAGAGACCGAUAGCGAACAAGUAGAGUGAUCGAAAGAUGAAAAGCACUUUGAAAAGAGAGUUAAACAGUACGUGAAAUUGUUGAAAGGGAAGCGCAUGGGGGCAGACUUGGACGCGGGGUUCAGGGUCUCUUUUUUGGAGGCGUGUACUUCCCCGCGGACAGGCCAGCAUCGGUUCUGGGGGCCGGACAAAGGCGACGGGAACGUGGCUCUCUUCGGGGAGUGUUAUAGCCCGACGUGCAAUGCGGCCACCUGGGACCGAGGACCGCGCUUCGGCAAGGAUGCUGGCGUAAUGGCCUCAUGCGGCCCGUCUUGAAACACGGACCAAGGAGUCUAACAUCUAUGCGAGUGUUUGGGUGGCAAGCCCGGACGCGCAAUGAAAGUGAACGGAGGUGGGAGCCCUUUCCCGCGUGGAGGGGGUGCAGCAUCGACCGAUCCGGACGUUUUCUGAAGGAUUUGAGUAAGAGCAUAGCUGUUGGGACCCGAAAGAUGGUGAACUAUGCGUGAAUAGGGUGAAGCCAGAGGAAACUCUGGUGGAGGCUCGCAGCGGUUCUGACGUGCAAAUCGAUCGUCAAAUUUGCGUAUAGGGGCGAAAGACUAAUCGAACCAUCUAGUAGCUGGGUUCUGCG
rnacentral:rRNA from 1 species